rnacentral:lncRNA from 1 species
GGCCGGGCCCCCGGUGGCGGUGGCGGCCCCGGUCCCGGUCGCGGCCGCGCAGCCCCGGCCCGCCCCGGCCGGUGCCCGCCCCCCCUCCCCCCCCCCCGCCCGGAUCCGCUCCCGGGCGCUCCCGGCCGGCGGCCUUAAAGGCGCAGCGGCGGCGGCGGGAACGGCCCGGUACGGCCCGGAGCGGCGGGGGCGGACUCGCACCCCGGGGGCUGCGCACACGCGCACGGACACACGCACCGACAUGGCGGGGACACGCGCGGCGGGGCCCCCCGUGUCCGCACAACACCCCCGAGCGUGUCACUUGCACACGCACCCCAGUGCCUUCCCCUUGCACACCCGCCCCGCGCACAUCCCGGUACCCCCGUUGCACAGGCACACACUGCACGCCCUGGCACACGCGUGUUGCACCCACACGUGUGUGUUCACACGCACACGAAGCCCCCUGCACACCCGUGGCGUGCACCCACCACCUUGCGCACACCCCUGCACGCUCACGCACAUCCCCUUGCACACGCACACACAAACCUUUGCACACGCGUUUUCCGUGCCACACAUAGAUAUUGCACAUACACAGCCUCCUCGCAGAUUUACACGCCCUUGCACACACACACGCACCCUUGCACACUCAGGCAGACCUGUUAUACACUGACACAUAAACCCGUCUAUAUUUGUGUGCAAACACACGAAUCCCCGUGUCCACACACCUGUGCACGCCUUAGGCACGGCAGACGUGCACACAGGUGCGGGUGCACACAUGCAGCUUGCACACACAGCCCUUGCACACGCAGCCUGGCACACACACAGACGUUCACAGGGGCACGCACCCACCUUGCCCACACUCCACACACUUCAUACACGCUGCCUUGCACACACACACGUACACUCACCCCUUGCACGCUCACCUUUACACAUACACAGCCCUUACACACACACCACCCCCAUCUUCAUACACACAGUCCUUGCACACCCCUCGUUAUACACCCGUCACACACUCACAGCCCCCUUUGCGCGCACCCUCACCCUGACACACCCCUUACACACUCACAGCCCCCCUUGUUUGCACACACGCACACCCCCCUUGAGGAUGCCUCCACAUUUCCGCGUGCCCUCGUGCCCAGCUCGGCGCAGGGCACCCCCUCACUACGCUCCCCGCACCCCCACGAGUGACCGUGGCACCGGCCCUGCC